rnacentral:rRNA from 1 species
UACGUAGGGGGCAAGCGUUGUCCGGAUUUAUUGGGCGUAAAGCGCGCGCAGGCGGUCUUUUAAGUCUGAUGUGAAAUCUCGUGGCUCAACCACGAGCGGUCAUUGGAAACUGGGAGACUUGAGUACAGAAGAGGAGAGUGGAAUUCCACGUGUAGCGGUGAAAUGCGUAGAUAUGUGGAGGAACACCAGUGGCGAAGGCGACUCUCUGGUCUGUAACUGACGCUGAGGCGCGAAAGCGUGGGGAGCGAACAGG